rfam:Flavobacteriaceae bacterium TMED145 17485, whole genome shotgun sequence.
UAGGGCGGUUAUAGCNNCGGGGAUCACCUCUUACCAUUCCGAACAGAGAAGUUAAGUCCGNUAGCGCCGAUGGUACUACUAUUGUGGAAGAGUAGGUCACCGCCUUUC